UACGUAGGGUGCGAGCGUUAAUCGGAAUUACUGGGCGUAAAGCGUGCGCAGGCGGCUUUGCAAGACAGCUGUGAAAUCCCCGGGCUCAACCUGGGAACUGCAUUUGUGACUGCAAGGCUAGAGUACGGCAGAGGGGGAUGGAAUUCCGCGUGUAGCAGUGAAAUGCGUAGAUAUGCGGAGGAACACCAAUGGCGAAGGCAAUCCCCUGGGCCUGUACUGACGCUCAUGCACGAAAGCGUGGGGAGCAAACAGG
rnacentral:rRNA from 1 species